rnacentral:rRNA from 1 species
GACGAACGCUGGCGGCGUGCUUAACACAUGCAAGUCGAACGAUGACGACCGAGCUUGCUCGGUCUGAUUAGUGGCGAACGGGUGAGUAACACGUGAGCAACCUGCCCUUCACUCUGGGAUAACCUCGGGAAAUCGGGGCUAAUACCGGAUAUGAGCUCCUGUCGCAUGGCGGGUGUUGGAAAGUUUUUCGGUGAAGGAUGGGCUCGCGGCCUAUCAGUUUGUUGGUGAGGUAGUGGCUCACCAAGGCGAUGACGGGUAGCCGGCCUGAGAGGGCGACCGGCCACACUGGGACUGAGACACGGCCCAGACUCCUACGGGAGGCAGCAGUGGGGAAUAUUGCACAAUGGGCGAAAGCCUGAUGCAGCGACGCCGCGUGAGGGAUGACGGCCUUCGGGUUGUAAACCUCUUUCAGCAGGGAAGAAGCGAAAGUGACGGUACCUGCAGAAGAAGCGCCGGCUAACUACGUGC